UGCAAGUCGAGCGCCGUAGCAAUACGGAGCGGCAGACGGGAGAGUAACACGUGGGAACGUACCCUUCAGUUCGGAACAACCCAGGGAAACUUGGGCUGAUACCGGAUACGUCCGUAAGGAGAAAGAUUUAUCGCUGAAGGAUCGGCCCGCGUCUGAUUAGCUUGUUGGUGAGGUAACGGCUCACCAAGGCGACGAUCAGUAGCUGGUCUGAGAGGAUGAUCAGCCUCACUGGGACUGAGACACGGCCCAGACUCCUACGGGAGGCAGCAGUGGGGAAUAUUGGGACAUGGGCGCAAGCCUGAUCCAGCCAUGCCGCGUGGGUGAUGAAGCCCUNAGGGUGUAAAGCCCUUUCGGCGGGGAAGAAUAUGACGGUACCCGCAAAAGAAGCCCCGGCUACCUCGUG
rnacentral:rRNA from 1 species